rnacentral:sRNA from 1 species
GUCUGAAAUAUUAAUUUCAGACUUGUCUUUCCACAAAAAAUGGAACAAAGUGAGAACAUGUAUACAUCCCCACUACAAAUUUCAGAAGAUUGACCUCAAGACACUACCCGGAGCCACUUAGGAACAAAUGGACAUGCGGAUGAACAAAGCAAACUGGAAUAGAGGAAGCUCCCUGAUUCCUGAAAAUGCAACUCAAGCAUGUUACACUUCUUUCAUCUCUGCUCCACUCCUCUUUUCUCCCCGGACGCCUGUGUUCAGUCCUAAAGAUUGAACAAGAUCUAGAUUAUGUUGGGCAUAGUGAUUGUCCUUCACUGUGAUUAUGGAAGAAACAAGAUACAAUCAGCACAUACCAGAACCAAGAGGAAGGAAAACACAUGCUGAAAAUGUGGCUAACAAGACAGAAGGGAGAGCCGAGGAAAGAGUGGAAUAGAAACAACUCAGGGCCCUCAUGACUUCUAUUGGUUGGUGAAUGCAGAGCUACACAAGGCAAACUUUGAAAGCUUACGAAGUCAAAAAAAAAAUCAU